rnacentral:rRNA from 1 species
GACGAACGCUGGCGGCGUGCCUAAUACAUGCAAGUCGAACGCAGUGGGGACGGGUGAGUAACACGUGGGUAACCUCCCAUCAGAGGGGAUAACACUUGGAAACAGGGUCUAAACCGAUAUAAGGGGGAUGGGCUCGCGGCCUAUCAGCUUGUUGGUGGGGUGAUGGCCUACCAAGGCGGUGACGGGUAGCCGGCCUGAGAGGGUGACCGGCCACAUUGGGACUGAGAUACGGCCCAGACUCCUACGGGAGGCAGCAGUAGGGAAUCUUCGGCAAUGGACGAAAGUCUGACCGAGCAACGCCGCGUGAGUGAAGAAGGUUUUCGGAUCGUAAAACUCUGUUGUUAGAGAAGCGGUAUCUAACCAGAAAGCCACGGCUAACUACGUGCCAGCAGCCGCGGUAAUUC